GGUCCGCUGGUGUAAUUGGUAAACACAACGCACCUGGCCUUUGACAUAGACAUUAACCCGGUCGCUAGUCUGGGAAAUUUCAGGAUAUCGCCGGUUCGAAUCCGGUGCGGGCCA
rfam:Sordaria macrospora k-hell, WGS project CABT02000000 data, contig: 2.1